GACGUAGGGGGCUAGCGUUGUCCGGAUUUACUGGGCGUAAAGCGCGUGUAGGCGGCUAUGCAAGUCGGGCGUGAAAUCCCACGGCUCAACCGUGGAAGUGCACUCGAAACUGCGUAGCUAGAGUCUCGGAGAGGAAGGUGGAAUACUUGGUGUAGGGGUGAAAUUCGUAGAUAUCAAGUGGAACACCGGUGGCGAAGGCGGCCUUCUGGACGAUGACUGACGCUGAGACGCGAAAGCGAGGGGAGCAAACAGG
rnacentral:rRNA from 1 species